GUACCAUUAGCUCAGCUGGAUAGAGCGUCUGACUACGGAUCAGAAGGCCGGGGGUUCGAAUCCUCCAUGGUACGCCA
rnacentral:tRNA from 1 species